rnacentral:rRNA from 1 species
CCUACGGUGGACAGCAGUGGGGAAUAUUGCACAAUGGGGGAAACCCUGAUGCAGCGACGCCGCGUGAGUGAAGAAGUAUCUCGGUACGUAAAGCUCUAUCAGCAGGGAAGAAACUGACGGUACCUGACUAAGAAGCCGCGGCUAACUACGUGCCAGCAGCCGAGGUAAUACGUAGGGGGCAAGCGUUAUCCGGAUUGACUGGGUGGAAAGGGAGCGUAGGCGGCAGCACAAGUCUGGAGUGAAAUCCCGGGGCUUAACCCCGGAACUGCUUGGGAAACUGUGCGGCUAGAGUGCAGGCGGGGUAAGCGGAAUUCCUAGUGUAGCGGUGAAAUGCGUAGAUAUUAGGAGGAACACCGGUGGCGAAGGCGGCUUACUGGACUGUAACUGACGUUGAGGCGCGAAAGCGUGGGGAGCAAACAGGAUUAGAUACCCUUGUAGUC